AAAAAAGCUCCCUUUCCUUCAAACCAACCAGUUGGACCGUACCAUCAGUCCCAAAUAUAGAAGCGCCAGCGACAUACAUGUGGCUCAAGACCGGGAGAUUCGGGCUGCCAACGAUGGUGAACAACUGCGGCAUUCAGGUGGUGGCGGUGCUUAAAACGAUCGUCUGCUUCAUCUUGCUCACUGGGCAUUGUGCAGCUUCUGUGACAUCAGGUUCGAAUUUGAAGGGACAAGAAAUGAAAGGGCGGCGGCGGGCGUCAGGCUGGUGGUCGGAGGAUUAUUCUGUACCUGGGAGACGAAGGCAUGUCCAUAAUAAGUUAGAGCCGCCGUAACAUGAUUUACUUUUAACUUGGUUGCGAGUGAGGAGUGGCGGGUUGUCUCUGUAAUAUUCUGCAUGAAUAAUGUCACGAGGCCAAAGAUGUUUUUGCACUUUUCCUUCAAUA